UAAACAACWCUCGGCAACGGAUAUCUCGGCUCUUGUUACGAUAAAGAACGUAUCGAAAUGCGAUACUUAGUGUGAAUUGCAGAAUCCCCUGAAUCAUCCAGUUUUUGAACGCAAUUUGCGCCCGAGGCCUCGGUCGAGGGCACAUCUGUCUGGGCGUCUCAU
rnacentral:rRNA from 1 species